rnacentral:lncRNA from 1 species
ACAUCACUAUUUUUAUAAGCACAUAAUAUAAGGUAAUAGUAAGCAUGGGCGGGCCAGGAGAGAGGUGCAUAUAGGGUGGCUCACCAAAACCAUUUUCAGUUGAUGGGUCUGAUUCGCAUGAUUUAUUCCCACCCCUUUUAAGUUUUGUUGUCAUUAUUCAUUUGCAGUCUCAUCCAUUAAAAAGAAGUCUGCAAAAAAUAAUAGAAUUAAUUUACUACCAUGGCGAAGCCACCCGUUACAUUACCUACAUGUGGAGCUAUCCCAACGGUAAACAAUUUUAUAAAUAUUAUAAUUUUUUUGAUCUGUAACAAGUUGUAAAUGUUCCUUUUUAAUAUAUCUAUAGCCAUUUCACAUAAACGCAGGUUGGGCUGGAGAUUCAAAGAGUGACUAUUUUAGAAAAACAUUUCACUCGAGUCCUUGAAUCUAUAUGGGUUGGAG